UAUUUAAUUUGAUUGUUAAAAGUGUUAACUGAUUAAUUUAUGUGUUGUUUCUUUUUGUAGAAGUACGGUUUGUGUUCCUUAAAAACUAUUAGUACGGGCAGUAGUACGUAAACGUUAUAUUUGAGAAGAAUUAAAAGAAAUAGUACGAUUUUGCCCAUAAUGUGCCUGAUCUAAAUGUAUAGAGAUCUAUAAGAAUAGUUGCUGUGAAAAGAGAAAGGUCCAUCAAGGGCCUUUCUCUUUAUUUCUUUUCUUCGGCACAAGUUCCGGCUAGCCGCUGGACCGACAAAACCUCGCUAGAUGCGCACGUCUAUCCGCAAAGUCAUGGAUGAGCAGAAAAGGAAGACAUUCGAGAACCCCCCCCCCCCUUUGGGCAGCAUACGUCGGAGAACGGUGAGUCAGCCAUCUUGGAAGGCCUUUCCAUGCGGGAAGCCGCCUGUCUCCGUGUCGAGUCGGGAAGCAUCGAUAACUGCCCCGAACUUCCGACGAAAGUAUCACCAAGCCACUACGAACCACCCACCGACAUCAGAAUACGCCACCGGAAUCAACAGCAACCCCAUCUGUCAACUGCCACCUACAAGCCAAAACCACUACGGAUCCGGAUCCCAACCAACAAUAUACGCAAGUACCCUAUGUGACGUCAGACGGUAGGAGAAGAGGUGUCCAAAAUGGACAAUUUGUUAAUAAAUAGUUUGUAAUUGGAACUUAGUGGUGCCGUCUACUUUUAUUAGAGCGCAGCCCUGAAUUAUUUAGUUUGCACUUCUUAUUGUUUUUCGUUGUCCGUGUUCAAAAGGGAACAUUCAAGCCUCGUCUUCCUCUGGUGAAUAUAAAAUUGCUUUCUUACGGCUUUUGAGCACCCUUGUUGUAAGGCUUUAUUUGUAUGUCCGUCGUUCUCGUGCAAACUCCUCAAGCAAGUGUUGUUUUAUCAUUGUGUUCCCCGUGCCAAUGAGCCUCACCAAGGA